CUGCGUUUGGAAAGAUUUUUCGGUUGGGGAUGGGCUCGCGGCCUAUCAGCUUGUUGGUGAGGUAAUGGCUCACCAAGGCGUCGACGGGUAGCCGGCCUGAGAGGGUGACCGGCCACACUGGGACUGAGACACGGCCCAGACUCCUACGGGAGGCAGCAGUGGGGAAUAUUGCACAAUGGGCGAAAGCCUGAUGCAGCAACGCCGCGUGAGGGAUGACGGCCUUCGGGUUGUAAACCUCUUUUAGCAGGGAAGAAGCGAAAGUGACGGUACCUGCAGAAAAAGCGCCGGCUAACUACGUGCCAGCAGCCGCGGUAAUACGUAGGGCGCAAGCGUUAUCCGGAAUUAUUGGGCGUAAAGAGCUCGUAGGCGGUUUGUCGCGUCUGCUGUGAAAUCCCGAGGCUCAACCUCGGGCCUGCAGUGGGUACGGGCAGACUAGAGUGCGGUAGGGGAGAUUGGAAUUCCUGGUGUAGCGGUGGAAUGCGCAGAUAUCAGGAGGAACACCGAUGGCGAAGGCAGAUCUCUGGGCCGUAACUGACGCUGAGGAGCGAAAGGGUGGGGAGCAAACAGGCUUAGAUACCCUGGUAGUCCACCCCGUAAACGUUGGGAACUAGUUGUGGGGUCCAUUCCACGGAUUCCGUGACGCAGCUAACGCAUUAAGUUCCCCGCCUGGGGAGUACGGCCGCAAGGCUAAAACUCAAAG
rnacentral:rRNA from 1 species